rnacentral:rRNA from 1 species
GAUGAACGCUGGCGGCGUGCUUAACGCAUGCAAGUCGAACGAUGAAGCCCAGCUUGCUGGGUGGAUUAGUGGCGAACGGGUGAGUAACACGUGAGUAACCUGCCCUUAACUCUGGGAUAAGCCUGGGAAACUGGGUCUAAUACCGGAUAGGAGCGUCCACCGCAUGGUGGGUGUUGGAAAGAUUUAUCGGUUUUGGAUGGACUCGCGGCCUAUCAGCUUGUUGGUGAGGUAAUGGCUCACCAAGGCGACGACGGGUAGCCGGCCUGAGAGGGUGACCGGCCACACUGGGACUGAGACACGGCCCAGACUCCUACGGGAGGCAGCAGUGGGGAAUAUUGCACAAUGGGCGCAAGCCUGAUGCAGCGACGCCGCGUGAGGGAUGACGGCCUUCGGGUUGUAAACCUCUUUCAGUAGGGAAGAAGCGAAAGUGACGGUACCUGCAGAAGAAGCACCGGCUAACUACGU